CUAGAACUGACAAGGGGAGCGGCGCGAGAACGGCUGUUCGCACCGCCUCUUCCGGAGGAGUCCCCGCCUUCUAAGCCGGAAGCCGAGGGCGGGACUUAGUUCUCGGUCGCGCCUGGAGCUAGGCUGCGGCGCGUGGGCUGGAGGCCCAAGCCCGAGAGGGCUAGUGGCGCGUCCUCGACGAGGUGCGGCGGUAGGGCGGCACGGCCCGCAGGCAGGUCUCGCGAGCAGGCCGGGGAUUGUAACGCUCGCCCCGUCUGUGUCCAGCAGCGCGGGGAGGAGCUGUUUGCACAGGGCCCACGCGACAGCCGAGUAAACAGGGGCCUGCCAAGCUCCGAGACUUCCAUUUGCAAAGACUGCGUGUGCACACCCACAGGCAGAAAGGAGAGCAGGGCGGUCGUUUCGUCUGUGACAUGUGGCCACCGACCAGGAGAGGUCCCUGUCGUGGGGAGGCGACACGUCUGACUGAGAGCAGCCCCGGCAUCUAGAGAGCGUCCAGUGAUGUUUGCUGCUCUUGUCUCAGGGACAUCGAGCUGCGGCGGCAUCUGCCAGCUCCAGGCCCAGGUAAGCAGUAAAACCAGCCAGGCAUGGAAUAAAGACCCCCUGCCCUGGUGCCAACCAAUCAAUCAGUGGAGACCACAACCCUGAAAGGAUGCACCUGGAAAACUGCUGAAUAUUCUAUUAAGAUCUUUCCCUGGGACCUCCCCUAAAAUCUCACAUUACCAUUCCUCACUUCAAGCUCCAAGGGCCCUUCCUUUACCUCCAUAAGUUGUUUCCUAAGCCUAUUUCUUCUAGGACUUACUUUUUCUACCUCUGUAAUUUACCAAAUAAAUGUUCUCUUACAGUUUGGGUCUU